UCAUACCCACGGGUUUCCCAUAGGCCACCUCGUCUGCCCGAUCAAUAUUUUUGUGAUGUCAAAAUAUCAAUUAUUUCAUUUGUUCUAUUCAUGUAUAAUCACUUUAAUAUGUCAAAUCGAUCUAUUAUCAAUUCAUUUCAUGUGUAUUAUGUUCUCAUAUCAAUUAUUAAUGCACAGUCAGUUCAACUAGGUUAGACUCGAUGUGAUAUCAAUAUAUACAUGUAGGCAAAGUCAUGAGUAGAUAACAUGUAUGCUCAUAGGUAUGGCGGCUAUGAGUAUAGUAAUAGUCCACUUGGCAAAACCCGACCCGAUUGACACCUUGAGUGAGACUAAAUGCAAAUAGGUCAAGUAUAAUGAAUUCAUCAAGGACUUGAUGGUCCCCUCAUAUUCUAUUUGAUAAUAUCUGUAUUUUUUUUUGUAUGGUGUUCAUUCGUUUGUUUUUUUGGGAUAGGAUGUUCAUAAUCAGUUCUCCGAUAUUGGACUAACUGAGACAUUGAGUAUGUUUAAUUAGCAAAGGUGCACAAUUGGUACCAACAGGAGGAUUCUUGGGAGAAAGUAAAAUCAUGUACUCCCAUUGUCUAUAAGCAACUGCCCACAUUGAUACUUCAUGAAAUGGUUAUUAACAUCUUGUCACAAUUAACUCCAUGAACCCAAAGUACUACUCCCUCCGUCCCAUAUUAAGUGACGAAAUAUUAAUGUAUCUAGACGCUUUAAGGUAUAGGUACAUGCAUAUAUGCAAAGCAUUGUUUUCCUUAAUUUUGUUUCUUUUGGUAAAGAACCUUUAUCCACAUAGCACAGCGAGAAUUAUACCAAGUAUUAGCUCAUUCGGUGGUUUACACUCUUCCGUUGCACUUGUAGUAAUUUUUUUCUUUGAUUUCCAUGCCAAUUAUUUUUUUUGAGGCAAAAUUUCAACGCCAAUUAAGUAUCUCGAUCGAUGGCAGUAGCUCCCUUGUGACCUGAUAGUAUUGACGCAUGUCACGCAUACAAGUCCUUGUUCCGAACGAGAAUACUUGUAUGCAAAGCAUGCAACUUCCAAAUCAUCUGCAUGCCCGGCCGCUCGCACAAACAAUCAUCAAUUUUCUCGAUCCCGGCCGUAUUUGACAAGGAUGGGAUUGCAUUAGGUUACCAAUGCAGACUUUAUCUCUCAAAUAUACCCGCAUUAUAAAACAUUUUCAUCGAUCGACGCCCAAAUUAACGCAAAUCCUGUUCGUCGAUCGAUCAGUAUGGCGCACGAAACCCGUAAACCAUCAUGGAAGGACCUUCCCCACGACUUCUCCCACCUCGUCCUCCGCCGACAGAGGCGCCUUCGCCGCCACUGGCACGCCGCGGUGCGCAGCUACCAGAUGAUGCCGCGGCUCGUCCUCCGAGACGGCGGCCGUGCAGCGCCUGACAACAACGCUCCCCGCCGACGCGCGCUGCUGCGGCUCCGUGGGCGGCGCCUGGCUCGUACUCGUCCGCGACUGCCCCGUCUCCGUCCGCCGGAUCUGCGGCCACCACGUGCCGCGCUUCAGCGGAUGCUGCGGCGCCCCGUGCUGUUGCUUCCUCCUCGACCCGUUCUCCAAGGCCGCGGUACUGCUGCCGGAGCUUGCGGAAUUGCACCACCAGCACGCGAUCCAGGGGUCGAUCUUCAUCGACAAGAUGGCCGCUUCCUCGGCCCCGGACGCGCCAGGCUGCAUCCUGGCCGUGUUGAUCCACGGCAAGGACCGGUCGAUCACGUUCUGCCGGCCGGGCCCGGGCAGCAGGGGCAGCUCCUGCCAGGCCAGCUUGCCGGCCGACAUCCGCGGCAUCGCGUUUUCUCAAGGCAAGUUCUACGCGCUCACCAAGGACGAAGGCCUCUUCGCCAUUGCCAUCGACGACGAGCGCGAGCGCCAGCAGCCGGCGGUGUCGUCCGUUACGCGGCUCAUAGACGACACCUCCUUCUCGCCAAACUUCAGGCUGCAGCACGGUUCAAACAACGCCGUGUACUCGUGCCGUCGCCGGUGGUACCUCGUGGAGUCCCGAGGCCGGCUGCUCAUGGUGAGGCGUCUGCUCGUCGGGGCGAGCGGCGACGUGACGUAUAACCUCAAGGUUUUCAGGCUCGACGAGUACGAUGGCGGGGCCGGGGCGUGGACGGAGUUGGCCAAGCAGGGCCUGGACGGCGAGGCGCUGCUCGUGGGCAAACGCGGGUCCGUGUCUGUCCCGGCGUGGUGGUGCGUCGGGGCGCAGGAGGACUGCGUCUACGUCUUCCACGACCUGGCAACCACGUGGUGGAAGUCGGCUGCCGAUGACCCUUUCCGCGACGCCGGCGUGUACAGCGUGAGGGACCGCAAGAUUAUUAGCCGGUUGCCACCGGCCAGGAGGACUGCGUCGCCGCUCGGCCGGUGGUUCCCGACAUGGCUUUAUCCCUCAGCAGCGGCGUACGUGAGAAACUCUUAAACGGAGGGAGAACCGUCCGGCCGGGGCAUGGGAAUGUUUCACGUAGCUUACUUAAUUUUAUUUACGGCAAAACGCUCCUACUCCCUCGACACAACGCACCGCCUGCUCCUACCACGUAUUAGGGCCUUUUUUUAUUCACGGGAUUAGAAAGAACGCACGAAUAUGACAAAUACUGUAUAGCAAUGUCAUGUCUACUGCUCCACUAUCCACUUCAUCCAUAGAUUUUGUUUGCGUGCCCCAAAGUUUGUUGGUUUUCAUUGCACAACUGAAACACAAAAGAUUCCAUCAAAGAGGUUGGAGUAGAUUAAAACUUUCUAGUCUGCUUCUCAUCAUUCGCCCUCGAGGAUUCCAUUCCCGUACCUCUUUAUCAUUGUCGAUGACGUCCUGCAACGCCUAUUUCGCAAUGCCUGGCUAAAGGGUAACCUCAACCACCCCUGGAUUCCGAGCUCCCAUGCCCCGUACUUCAAUAUGCGGACUAACACGCUCAUACUUUGCCCCUGCACCGACACUCCACCACCCUUCUAAAGUCCAUCCUUCAUUGACUCCUUUCCUGCUGCCACCGGACUCUCAUUAAUUGCCAAAAGUCAUGCCUUCUCCCCAUUCACAUUGAGCCGAUACGGCUACUGACCUAGCCUUCCCUUCGGCCGGCCCAUCUCUUUCUUCCCUCAACCCUACCACAGACUACCUCUCUCACCAUGGAAACUUCCCCACCCCCCUCAGCUUUCGCUUCCCCUAUCCAAAUAUUCGACCCCUACAUCUCAGGGUGGCGAGCCCUCCUCUCCUCCAGCGGCCGUUAGUCCUUACUAGCGGUCCUCAACACUCACCACAACCUUUUCAUGUGCUCUUUUCCUCUUUCCCCUGGAGUGGUAAAGCAUUAGAUAAGAGAAGGCGAGCUUUCUUUUGGACCGACCGCUCUGGCUAUCUAAUGGCUUGGGAUCGUGUUGUGCUUCCUAAACAAGAGGGUGCCCUAGGCAUCAAGGAUCUGCGGCGACAAAACUCCUGCCUUUUGCUGACGUUCAUCCACAAACUUCACCAACGCGAGGCGCUGCCCUAGAAGAAUUGGUAAGCUCGAUACCGUAUAGGGGACUUUGAAGACACCCAACCCUCCCCCUCUUUCCUCGACAAAAUCAUUGAGGAAGAGCUUCCGUUGUACCAACUGUACAAUGGUUCGUCUCGGUGACGGCAUAACCACGGCGUUUUGGAAGGAUGUUUGGUAGAACAAUGGAAAUAGACUUGUGAACACAGUUGCGGCCAGGGGCGGAGCCUGGAGCAAAGUUGAGAGGAGGCACUUAGACAUUCUUAGGGUAUAACUUAAAUUAGAGGGGGCAUCAAUGGUGAAAUUCUAACAUUUACAUUGGUAUAUUAAAAUUGAAUGGGGGCAUUGGCCCCCAUAGCCUAUGAGCUGGAUCCGCCCAUGGUUGCGGCUCUCUUCUCCCACUGCACCCGCCCCAAUAUGUGCCAUGGUCUUUCUCUUCGCUCAAGACUGACCGUGGUGGCCUCCAUGGAGCUCAUCGAAACUCAAUGACUCAUUGAUGCCCUCACUCUCCUCCAAGAAGAGAAUCAACGUGCACUUGCGUAGGGGAUGUGUAGAAAAUUCAGUUCAAGUGCGAUCUAUAGGAUGCUCACCGACAACGGGCAAAUUGACCCCGCAGCCUCGAAGCUAUGGAAAUCCAGUUGCCCUUCCAAGAUCAAGAUUUCCGCGCGCUUGUUACCGAGGACAUGCUAAACACAAGGAAAAAUCUUCACUACAAAAACCGCACCCCUGCCGCAACUGUGCUUCCAGCAACGACAUCGAAAGUGGACUGCAUCUCUUCUUCUACAACCCUCUGGCCGCUCUGGACAAGGGUCGGCGUCAAAAACGACAUUGGCGAGGGUCGGCGUCACGCACGACAUUCGCGACUUCACGCACUAUGGGAUAUCACCUCGUGUGUUGAGCUCCCCAACACAAAUGGACAGUCUGCGUUUGCAUCCUUCUUUGUUUGGAAAGCGAGGAACGGCAUCGUCUUGAUGCCUCCCACUUCCUCCCCAGCGCAACCUCUGUCGAGCAGUUGCUGACAUAGGUAUCUAGAGCCACCGCUUCGCUCCAGAGGACGAAGAAAAUUCCCUUACUAUUAGGACUUACCUUGUAACUUGUAUCUAAUUUUUUUCUCUUCACACUCUCCUCUCCCUACUUUGUAACCCCUCCCAGGAUGGUUGUGCGCUUGCCGUCUUUCGAGUUAUAUUCAACAACCGGUGGGGAGAAAUCCCCCCUCCCCCCAUUCCUUCAAUCUUGAAAAAAAAAGUUUCCUAUAAAUAUAAUACAAAUAAAUCCUUAGAAAAAUAAGAUUGUGUCCUACAAAUCAAAUGACCAGCACAGAAAAAAUUCCAAACAUUUCAACCCUCCAAAAUUCCUAUAAAAAUCAUUUGAAUGAAAGGAGGAGGCCUAGAUCCGGAGACUUUUUGUACUAUCGAAAACCAUAGAUGUAGGCAAAAAGAUACAUAUAAGAGAACUUCCUACAUUUUCUUCCCCACAACUAGCACAUCUAUAAUUUUUUUGUAGAUGUAGACGCAGAUUCUAAUAACUGAUGGAAUAUUCUUUUUCCUGUUUUGUAGAAAAUAUAGGAAGUUCUCUUACAUACAUCUCUGUUAAACUAUAUUUUUCAUUUUAUGGUUGUGCACAUCAGUCGAUACAGAGGCCGGGGUUAUCCUCCUUUUCAGAAAAAAUAAUAAUUUUUUUUUAUUUUUGAUGGAAUUUCGUUUUAAAAAGUAAUAGGUGGACAUAUCCUAGUAGUUGUUUCUUUUCUUUUGACCAAGCACAGAUCCUAGAAGUUUGAUGUGGGCGUCAGGAAACAGGAACUUCCGUUAACUCAUGUACCAUAUCUAGCUCGGACUGUCGAUCUCAAUGAGAAAAAAAAGGAAGCUGGGACUGUGUCACUCCUCGUACAAAUAAUAAAGUAGUUUCCUCCACAUACAAACAGCAUAAUCACAAUCGCAACUGCUGUAAAAAAAAAGAUUUCCUAAUCACAGCUUGUUUAAAUUUCAGUAUACAAAAUAACGCUACCACGCUGAAGUUAAGAAAUAACAAGUUGUUUAAACUUUCGUUACUAGUUGACCAUACAGAUAAAAUUCUUCAUCACUCACAGAGCCUGGCCAUGCUCCCAUAGUUUCCACUUCCGACCAUAGAAGCAGCAGAGCACCAUCGAUAUGUAAAAUCUCAGUACAACAAAAAGAGAUACCUGUCUGUCAGUUGUCAAUACAAUUCGAGGAACUAACAAUGCUCGCGGAGAAUGAUGUCGACUAUCAUCGUCAGUUGCUCCUUGUGUUUCAUCAGCUGGAAGAGGCAGAGGUCCCCCUCCCGCAGGCGGUUGUCGCAAGCGAAAGAAGUCCAGCCUCCAAAUAUCCGCAAGCCGCCGCCGUCCCUGUCACGCAUCUCAGCAUGCCAUGUCUGGCUCUUCCCCUUGCGCUGAAGUACUAAAUUACGGCUCCCCUUUCGAAGGUAUGUAGCAGAGUAUUGCUUGCCAAAGGUCUGUUCAUAUAUACACAAGGACGAUAAACAAAGAAGCCUUGUAAUUAUGCAGAGAGAUAGCUGAUACAACAAAAUUGUGUAAUAACCAAGUCUCUCUUGAAUCUUGAUACAGUGGGUGGUUGUUUUGACACGUAGCUAUCACUAAUAUAGUUUUCCGACGAAACAUAAUGAAUGAAGGGACUACUGCACAUCCUUUUUUUUUUGCUGAUGUGGAUCUUGUUCAUGGUUAGAACGUAAAUGGGCAAAUGGGCACCACAGAUCUUCUUCUAGUCUGAUUUCUCUAAAGAACAUAACUGUCAAUUAAAAAUCAGAAGAAAUUUUUCUGAACUUACUAGCGACGAGGCAAAGCUCUGGCCAGUGAGAUUGGUCUUCUUCAUGACUGCGACGUAAAUGGGCAAUUCUGACCGAAUUGUUCCAAGUUUCUCCAAAACUUUCUUCUCCUGCGAUUUUGUUAGACGGGGACCCAUUGGCAUCAUGUAGGGGAGCUCAGAGCUUUCUGAACCAUCAUGCUCGAGAGAAUUCUCACUAAAUCCAUGUUCCGAAUAUAAGGUUGCUUCUCCUGAGCAAAUUUUUCACAUAAACAAACAGAAAAAUAUGAAUACUUUGGUGGAAAUACUUACGUAAGAAAACCAUACCGACAUCCGGUUCCUCCUUAACACGCAUGGUUGAAGCCAACUUUGAGUUUGCCAAACCACGGUUUGAGCCAAUAACAAGAUUUCUAGAGGUGUGAUCAUUACUCGCUUUGCGGAGCAGAUGGACUGCCACUUUGAAUGUUCUUCCAUUGGCUCGUGUUGUCGGUUGAAAGAGGCACAGAUCGCCCUCUAGUAAAUGGUUGUCACCUGCGAAGUCACAACCAAAAAGAUUGCAACGACCUCCAUCAGAUCUGACACGGAACUGACAGUGCCACUUCUUGGUCUGUCCAGGAAUCUGGAGUGUGAUUGUCUGAUUUUUGUGUGGAAAGUGUGCGAGUGCAUAAUCCUUAGGAAUCACCUGAUCAAAGAAAAGGUGCAGAAUGUGACACUGCUCAUGCAGAACUUAAAUAAACAGAACUUCACCAAGUACACAGAAAUAAACAGAACUUCACCCAAUAACAUGAAUUUCAACUGUAUAGCAAGACAAAGUAUGACCAUAAUGAAAGCUAAAUUCACCAAGUACACAGAACUACAAUUAUUAUGCGCCUUUGAGUGCUUUGUUCUCUUAUUUUCCUAGUGGCAAGCAAUAAGCCGUCCAUAUAUAAUAGUACAAUUGAUUAACUUAACGUACCAGGUCAGGAUAUGGUUUCAUAUUGGGCUUCAUCAUAGCCACAAGAGGAGGCCUUUCAGGUUGAAUUUCCUGGACAAGUGCAACUAUUUCUGCAUCCUGCUCUUUUGUUAAAUAGCACUGGCCUGAUAAGACAUAAGACUUUGAGAGUGUGUCAUCGUCUGACUCAGAAGACUCAUGCUCACAAGGACUUUCUUCUCCUGUAAAAUAAUUUCAAGAGUAAGAGAAACUGCAGUAAAAAAAAAACCUUAUAACGUGAUAAAAAGUUACAAGUUAGUUGUCAAGUUAACCUGACAAAUCCUUAGAUGGAGAAGAUAUCGCAUCUUUCCUUGCACGUUUUCUACAAUGGCCUGAGCUUCCACUCUGGCCUCCAUCUGAUCUUCCACAUGCUGACGACUGAAUAUUGUGAUCACUGGAACUGCUUGACAUGUCUGUAGAAUUUGUGCUUGGUUCUUGAUCACUAAUAUUGCUCUCUAUGUGAGCACAUGACACCACUUUCUCACAACCACUAGAAUCAAAGACAAUAACCUUAAAGCGAGAAUUUCCACGGUAUUGGAACAUCAAUAAGUCAUUCUCUACUAUGUGAUUGGCAUCGACAAACGCCUCCCAUCCAGAUCUGAGUAACGUUUUAUUCUGGUGCUCAGUAAUUCCAACAUCGUAUACACUACCAUUAGGCGCUUCUAGUUUGAUGGCUCCUGAGAUCUUCCGUGGGGAGUAGUUCACAAAGCUCUCUGGUAUGACCUACAGCAACCAUUGCAACUUUGUAAGAAGUAAGUAUAGCUUAAAUAGUGCCUUGAAGAAAAACUGAGACCAAAAGCACAACAGGUCUUGUUGCUACUAAUUCAUUUCUUUUGCGAAAACUACUGCUACUAAUUCAAUGACCAGGCAACCCACUGAACUUACCAUGACAUGUCUAGAAUUCCUGUUCAUCUUGCCAACGAAACACUUGACCUUGCCAUGUAAAUGAGUCCAGUAUCUCUUGCAGCACUCACAAGAUUUGCUCAUCUCGUGCCUAGUAAUGUCCUAUUUGGAGAAAAAUAUAUAUCAUGCCAGAUGGCACAGAAACAAAAUCUUGUUGUAUUCCUGCACCAACUUUGACAAAAUCAACUCUACUCUGCAACUACUCAUCAAGUUAAAAGACUUACAGUAAGAGGGGGAAAACUGCAGCUUAUUCCUGUAGGAAAUUAAUUAUAGAAGUGUCACUCCUUUGUCUAAGCUAGCUGCAGCAAGUCUUCUUGGCCCGAACAAAGGAACUGAAACAAAACAAGCAAAAUGUACGUGAAUGGAAAAUGUACGCAAGGCUAAGCAGCAAACAAAAACGAAAGACUUACUGCAGUACCGGUCGAAAGGAACUGAAUGCCCAGAACCCUUAGGUCUUGGUUGGAAUCCCAAAUCCUGCAAUCACCGUGUCCUGGAAGAACCAAACCUAGAGCCGAGGAUGGAUCAGAACGAAGGCAAGGUGUUCCUAGAGUACAUCUGCUGGUCUACGGUCCCGCGAAGACCCAGGGGGGAAGGCGCAGGUGGAAGGGAGAUUUGCCCUUUAAUCUUCGUCUCUCCGCUGGGACUAUAAACCGUAGCACUCUUUGUUUGCUGUGACCAAGAGGAGCACGCGCGCGCGCACACACUUGGCGAAAAAGGCACUUGCCCACGGGAGGAAGAUGAACCUUUAUUGGUCUUCGAAGGGUUCUCCUCGGCUUCUCCUCUGCCGUUAUUGGUCUUGGAAUAUGGAGAGGCUACAAUAGAAUCACGAGGAGACACAGCCUUCAGCAGCAUGGACGCGGCUUGCCCCGAAAAAGUCCGACGGCUUGGUGGAUCCGCUGCUCCACCCGCAUGCAGCCGUCGGAUACACGCAUCGGGAUAGAUGCUAACCCCCACCAGCCCAGACUGCUUCUUAGAGCAGGUACAAUAGUCCCACUCAUCAGGCUAUAACGCAGUACACGUCACCAAAAUUCCACAUAACGAGGAGAGAAGGGAGGUAGCGGGCGACUCAUGAAACGCCCGGCGAAAUCGCAACAAACGAAAAAGAAUAGCCGGCUUGCAGCCCAGAGCGAGCGCUAGGGCCGGCGCUCCCGAUCCGGUGCUCCUCCCGCGCUUCUCCCUCGCCCCCCGCACUUCUCCUCCACUGCCGCGCCCUUUGCCUCGCCCCAAAUCGUGUAUUUUGUGCCAAAUCGAAUAUCCCCAAAUCGCCGAACCCUAGAAUUGCCACCGGCACCACGAGAUGGGUCAGCACUCCAAGAGGACGCGCGCGCCGGCGCCUCAGCCCGUCCCUCCGUCGGUGCCCCCGUCUGUCCCUCCGUUGGCGCCUCAGUCCGUCCCGCCGCGGCCGCCUCAUCUUGUCCAGCGUCCGCCCCAUCCUUUCUUGCCAUCGGCCUUCACUUCCACGCACGGACCAGGUCAUUGGAUCCCUUCACGACCACCGCAGUCCAUGGCGCCCUCCUCUGCAUCAAGUUGGCUCGCCGGGCUGCAGCAACAGAGUGUAGUAGGAAAUUCGGCUCAAGGCCCUUGCUGGGCACCACCUGCCGACAUUGGUGGUUCUGCAUCUCCUUGGUACACGACAGGGAAUAUUGACAACUGGUAAAUUAACAAGGGUCUGGUUUUAGAUAAUGUUACAUCAGAUUCCUGGUCCUGCAAAGGAGAGCAAAUUUGCUGACAAUAAAAUAAUCUAUUGUGAAUCUAACUAAUAGGAUUUGACAGAAACUAGCGUAAUCUAAUUCCAGUAACCUGUGCAUAAUUUUCUUCAAUGUUACCAACAUGUGUUUCUUUUGGUAAAGCUGGAGUUUUCUAAUUCCAACAACCUGUAUAUAAACUUUUUUAAUGCAGCAUGUUAACAUGUGUAUCUUUUGGUGAAGGAGUAUGCUAAUUCCAACAAUCUAUUUGUCAAUUUUUAAAAUGGUACAUACCAACAUGUCUACUAGUCUUGCGGAUUCCCUACAGUAGUGAGUAAAGUAAAUAAUAUGAGGUUAAUUGUUUGAUCAUCUAUUGCUUGAGGAGGGGAAUGGAUUCUUACCCGCCCGGUGGCUUCCUUAGUCUCUUUCAGAACACAUCAAGCCAAGCACAAGCCAUUAGCAAUGGGACUCCACAACAGCCAAUCAAUGUUGGCGAUGACAACAAUGGUGGCAACUGUCCAAGGACUGAGAAACGCUUGUUGUGGACAAAAGAGUAGGAUCGUAGAUUGGUAAGCUUGUUUCUUUGCAUGCUGGCUCCAUGUAUUAAAUUACUAGCACAACAAUAAACUCUUUAUAAUAUUAUAGGUUAGUGCUUGGUUGAAUAAUUCAAAUGAUCCAAUCCAAUCAAAUUACAAGAAGAACGACCAGUAUUGGAAAGAUGUUGCUGCUGUUUACAACAGUACCACCCCAAAAAACAGGGCAAGGCUAGUCAAGCAAGUGAAGGAUCGCUUUGCGAGAGUUAAGAAAAGGGUUGCAUGGUUUUGUGCGAGCUGGAAGGAGGCUAAUGCUUUGUAUGCCAGUGGUGAGUCUGAUGUGGAUUUAAAGGAGAGGGCAAUGAGAACUUAUGAGACAGACCAUAAAGAAGAUGGUCCAUUUAUGUUUGAGCAUUGUUGGGAGUUUCUCAAAAAGGAACCAAAAUGGGAUGCCUAUUUGGAACGCCUAGAAGAUCUAGAGCUGGACAAGAGGAAGUUUAGUGUUGAUGAUGAAGUGGGGCAGCAUUUCACUCUAGAUGAUGCUCGUGAUGAACGGCCACCAGGUGGCAAGCAAGCUAAGGAGCAGCGAAAACGCAAAAUAAAGGAUCAGGAUUGUAUUGUAGAUCUUGAAGUUGAGCUUACCAAGUUUGUAGAUGCUCAGAAUGCAGCAAAUGAAGGCCGCAAAGAGAUGCUAGAAACACAAAGGCGUGUGUCUAGUGAGAAUCUUGAAGCUCGGAAGCUUGUGUGCCUUGCAGCAAAAGAUCACAAGGAGUCAGUCAUGCUAGAAACGUACCGAUCGUUGAUGAUGCAAGACACAAGUGGGAUGCCCGAAGAUGUGAGAUCCGAGCACGUGUUGGCACUGAAGUGUUUUAGGGAGAAGUUAUUUGGCAAAACUGAUUGAGGUAUUUCCUACUAUCCACUAUCUUAGUUAAAAUCGAUUUUAUUUCACAUUAUUCUGUGCUGAAAUAUAAGAUUUUAAUAUGCUAAAAUGUACCAUUGCUUAAUAAAUUAUAUUUGGCUUGACAGCAUGCUUGAUUAUAGGGUUAUGGUCUUUUUUUUAGUACUGAAUCUGUGAAUGUGAGGCUGAAAUAUAAGAUUUUAAUAUGCUAAAAUUAUAGUCAACAAACCUCACUUAAGUGCAGUCCGGAUAACCAUGCAAGAAGUGAAAAAAAUCAUGUAGUCAUGGUCCAACCACACUUAACUACAAUGCAGCUCAGAUAACCAUGUAACAUAAUUAUACACCCAAGAAAACAUGACACAUCUAUAUAAUGCUCUAUCCUCUCUUCAGCCUACCAGUCCAGACUCUUCCUUCUUCUACCUCUCAUCUUCCCAUUCAGCCUACCAGCCCAGCUUCCUCUCCCACCAUGUCGGAUUCUGAUGAGCUAGCCCCAUCCAAAAUCAUGGAAGUCUAUGGUACCGAGCAGAAUGUACUAUACUCCUUUGCUAAGAGGCUCGUGAUGAAAAUCGAGGCUAGGCUCGGGGCUAGAUCCUCUAAGCGACGACACGGUCCAAGGAAAACCAUUCGGAGGGAUCAUGGAGGUGCUCAUCAGCGUCUGGUGGAGGACUACUUCGCUGCACAACCACUCUACCCCGAGAGUAUGUUCCGUACAAGAUUCCGUAUGAAUAGAGACCUCUUCCUACGCAUCGUGAAUGCCCUUGGUCAGUGGUCUCCCUAUUUCACUUAUAGGGCCGAUUGUUCUGGUCGAAUAGAGCUCUCACCAUUGCAAAAGUGUACGGCAGCCAUGCGCAUGCUAGCAUACGGGACCCCUGCUGAUGCCCUUGAUGAGUACUUGAAGAUUGGGAAGAGCACUGCAUUGCAGUGUUUGGACAAGUUUGCACAAGGGGUGAUUCGGGUGUUCGAUGGGGAGUACUUGCGACGCCCCACACGAGAGGAUGUCGAGCGUACACUUCAUGUUAACGAGUCUCGUGGUUUUCCUGGAAAUAGGAAGUAUCGAUUGCAUGCAUUGGCGAUGGGAGUUGUGUCCUUUAGUAUGGAGGGGGCAAUUCACCCGCGGUGAUUAUGGAGUACCAACAAUGGUCCUAGAAGCCGUUGCUUCUUCUGUUCUACAUAGUCCGGGGGGUCGCCUUGUAUAAAUAGUUCGGGGGGCAAAACGACAUAGGCUGGGCUUCUUCUAUUCUACAGUACUGUAUAAGGGCUGGGCUUCUUUCAUGGGCUUCUUCAACAUAGAAAUGGAAAGAGAAUACGAGAACGGAUCAUUUGCACCGGUGACACCUCCCGUUACCUCAACCUUCUCGACUCCUCGUCCUGCGCCUCCUUGACUCGUCUUCCACAACACGACCCGCUGCCGCCGAGGCAAGGAGGAAAGAGAUUGGUGAUGGCGGCCGUGGGAUGCUCCAAGGCGAUCGGCGAGUUCACCUGGAGGAACAUCCCGACUUCGAGCCGGCGACUCUCCCAACGACGGACACCGGCGCGGCUUAUGGUCUUGUGGUGGAUUCAGUUCAGGUUUCAGUUGUAAUCAUAAUCGAACUGCUCAGGUAUAACUCGGCUCUCGCAGGUAGACCUCUUGUCUGCCCUACAUCCAGCUGUCAUGCUCAACAACACAGACUCAACAGUCACCUCACAGCUCACCUCACAAGUCACCUCACAAGUCACCUCACAAGUCACUUCACCAGUCCACUCAUGUCAUCUCAGAUCCACAUCAUCAUCGAGUCACCGACAGAAUCCGAACACUUAGACGAGACUGACACUCAUUCCAUGAAUACCUAAAUAAGUCUUGUCAGUCUCGUCUAAGUGUUCGGAUUCUGUCGGUGACUCCAUACGAAAAGGAACUUUUCUGUUGCUGCUUCAAGGAUUUGAUGUUAUGAUGAACACAAUUGUGAGCAGUGAAAGUUAGGGCAAAUGGGCAUUGGAAAAAAAAGAUGAUCCCUGGUCUCGAUUUGCAAACCUUGGCACAACACACAUUCAUAGGUGUGCAGAUGGAAAUUCUUCGUCUGCAACAUAGCUCAAAUUCUUCUUCAUCAUGUUUAUGAAUGAAAAGUAGUACUCCCUCCGAUCCAUAUUAAUUGUCAAAAUGUUUCAGAUAAUUGUCAAAAUGUUACGUGUAUCUAGAUGCUUUUUAGGCAUAGAUACAUCUAUAUUUGGGCAAAUUUGAGACAAUUAAUAUUGAUCGGAGGGAGUAAGAGAGAGUAGUCUUUUAAAACAUGUACAAUCCACUUGUGCAAAGUGGCAGAAAUUACAUGACAUACUCGCAUCAUAAGACUGUUUCCUUGGCUUGAGAACCUAUAAAACAAUGUAUUAGAGGAGAAGCUUAUAAUGGCCAAGCCCAUGAAUAACUCCUAAGCUGUAUUGCACCUAGACCAGAAAAUUGUUGAUAUAAGAGCACAUAUGUCUAUUGGAAAAUAGAACCAGAUGCACUUUCUGGAUUAUAAGCUGGAGCUGCAUCAUCAAAUCCAUGAGAAGCGUGGGUUUAUUCCAGCGGUACCAAUCCAAUUAGAUAAAGACCAAGACAAAAGACAACAUACUGAAGAGGAUCAGCUGGGGAAAAAAUGAUGCUUGAGAUGAUGGAUCGAUGAGCGUGCAAACUGAGGCCAUCCCAGCUCCAUUUAGCUACUGAUUUAGCUUUGGUUCACAGGAUUUUGAACAGCUAAUAGCACUGGAUGGAACAGAAAACAAAACCAAGAGCUAUUUAAUCGUACAUAGUACCAAGACCUUACCAAAGCAAAGAAUCUGUAAAGGACGUAGAUGGAGCUCAUGCCUAAUAACCUUGAAGGUUGUAUCCGCAAUGAGAACCUCCUAAAGUAUAGACCACUAAUAGGUAAUCAAAGGCAUGAACAUCUAACAGCAUGCAAAUAAUGCGAAUAAAUGUUGGUAAAUGAACAAACAGACAUAUUCCCAAUUGCAUUCAUACGGAAGCACUUCAACAAUCUUUGUUCCGAAAAUAAAAUCUAGAUUAUAAAUGAAAAUGUAACCGGGAGUUAGAAGUUUCUCAAUAUAAUAAACCAUGAAAAUUAUUGAUCUUGGCUCACUUAUAUGGAUAUAACAUAGUGCGAUGUGAGGUUUUGCCCCCUCGACAGUCUGAAUACUCCAUAACAACAACUGACAGUGACAUGCCACGAAUGAUAGCGUACAUAAUUUAAGUUAUCAUACAUACAUAUACAUGGAUGCUAAAGCAGUAAAGCAUGAAAAGAUAAAACUAACCGUCCCUCCCAGCCUCAAAGAUUUGCUUGAAGAAAUAGAUUGGAACCAGGAUGAACACUGCCUGCACAAAAUGAAGACGGGGGAGACAUAAUAAAUUACAGCUCGAACACAAUAGAAUCGUUGGCCAGAAGAGGGGAUUGCAGAGAAAUUUUUAAAAAGAAGACGAAUGUAUAGUCGUAGAGAGCUAAGAGAGGGGCAACCUAGGAGAGAACCAUAGCUGCUCCAGGAUCUACUGCCGGAGGGGAAUAGGGAGAGCAAGGCAACAAAGCAUGUACAGACCCUGACCACAACCUUUGAAGCUCUAUCCCAUAAACGUUUCAAAUCACCACGAUCUUGUCAACACUUUCUUCAAUUUUCACACCUAAAACUCAAGAAUAUAGAUCAGUAAAUUGUUGUUUAAAUCCGGAUUGAAUGAUAUGCUGCAACUAAUAAAUCAACACAAAUUAAGGAUCAUCUGAAUUGGGGGAAAAAUUGAAGAGUUGAGCAAAAUGAAGAACUCACGUUGCGGUGGUCGGGUCGUUGGAGACGUGGAGGAGCCGUACGCUGCCGUGCCGGAGUUCCAAGGACGAGACGUGGCAGCGCUGGAGAGGACGACUACGAUUCGGAGGGCACGUGACGCGGGGGCAAGGCGCAGUGCGCUGCCGGCUCAGCGCGGUGGCUUGGGAGUGUGGGUAUGUGCAGGCGCCGCGGGGCUCGACGGUGGCUCGCCGUCGGGGCGGCGCUCCCCUGGCUCCACCGCCCCUUUUUAUCCCCCAACCGUGAACACCCUAGUGGCAAGGGAAUCCACCACAAGACCAUAAGCCGCGCCGGUGUCCGUCGUUGGGAGAGUCGCCGGCUCGAAGUCGGGAUGUUCCUCCGGGUGAACUCGCCGAUCGCCUUGGAGCAUCCCACGGCCGCCAUCACCAAUCUCUUUCCUCCUUGCCUCGGCGGCAGCGGGUCGUGUUGUGGAAGACGAGUCAAGGAGGCGCAGGACGAGGAGUCGAGAAGGUUGAGGUAACGGGAGGUGUCACCGGUGCAAAUGAUCCGUUCUCGUAUUUUCUUUCCAUUUCUAUGUUGAAGAAGCCCAUGAAAGAAGCCCAGCCCUUAUACAGUACUGUAGAACAGAAGAAGCCCAGCCUAUGUCGUUUUGCCCCCCGGACUAUUUAUACAAGGCGACCCCAAUCGGAUUUAAGGUUUCCUUCGAUUGCGUUAGAGAAAUCCAAUCGGCGAGGGCGGCGAGGUUACAUCAAUUCAUUGGAGGAGAUGGAUGUGGAGAGGCUACCCGCGAAAAAGCCUAGGAAAGCGGAGGGAGAAGCUGCUAUAGCGGCGGCGGAGGCGACGGCUAAGUCUGCUAGACUGGCGGCGGCAAGGGCGUCACGAGAAAAGAAGACUAGGAAGAUGGAGGAAGAGUGGCGGAAAAGAAUUGCAGAACCUGUCACGGACGAGGAAUUGCGACGACGUAAGGAAGCCCAGGAGAAGUUCAUCAGCGAAUCUUGGGAAAGGCUUCGCGAUAACUGGCCUUGCGAGGAACUUAUUCCCUAAAAAGCCAUCAGUAAGUUGUUAUCCCAAACUAUUAUUCUGCUGCAUCUUUAAUUUCCUAAUUCCUAGGAUCGAUGCAGCGAAAAUCCCCUGUUUCGGUUGAUACAUUCAUUUUUCGCUUUGUCUGUGAUGGCCCUGCGGUUUCCUCCCUAGUACCGUUUUGUAUUGGUACAGUAGGUUUCCUGUAUGGAGAACGGGAUCUAUAAAUGCCUGAACCUGGUUCGGUUAAAUGUAAUGAAGCCAGGAAGCCCUGCUCCCUGUUUGUCUUUCCUUUUGUUUCUCUAGCAAAAUAUGUCCUGUUAUUUUGAUACGGUAUUUUGAUACGGAACAUAGAGUCGUGUGCUUCAAAUGCAAAAAGGAAUUUGAUUGAUCUGGUUUUAUGUUCAUACAUCCAUGACUACUCUUGCACCUAAUAACAGUUUUCACGUGAUUGAUUGAUGCAGCGGAAAUCCCCUGCAUGCGUUUCACUGAUGCUGACCUCGAGCAUCAUCCUUAUCGGUCCUUGAUCAGCCAGAUGGAUUCUAUGCAGAUCGUUUCAGUCCAAAUCAAAGCAUUAACUGAAGGUUUACAGUGGCCCCUGGAUGUCUAUGGUUUCAUCGCAAUACGUGAUGUGUUGGAUCGCAAACGAUUUUCAACCGCGAAAGGAAGGACUGACAGACUAUAAAGGAGCAGGUUCGUGAAAACUGCAAUUAGGAUUAGAAUAUAAUAGUAGCAAGGGAGAAAAUCCCAAUCAUUUGUGCUUCAACAGACAUCCCUUAUCAAGCUAGUUUUAUGUGCUACUGCAAUAGUUAGUCAUACUAAGUUUUUACAAAUCCGUGGUAAAAAUUAUCAUGCCUACAAACAGGUGUUUCUGAACAAAGUUGUGACUGUCCUGAUUUCAACUCGAGUUAGUUAUAUACUCCCUCCGUCCCACAUUAAGUGUCACAACUUUGUCUUGAUACGCAUAUACGAACCUACACACUAAAGCCCGUCUAGAUGCAUGCAUAUCUAGACAAAGUUGCGACACUUAAUAUGGUACAGAGGGAUCAUAAAAAAAAAUCUGCUUGUUGCCUUUGCCAAUGAUUUCAAAGAAAACUACAUGCCAAAUAACCAAUCUCAUCUCAAAGCUUUACAUGAAUAAGUUGGCAGAAGUUCCAGAGGGACACUUUUACAUGACCCAUAUGUUCCAGUUUUUGUGAAAAUGUGUAAUGUCACUGUUUGCAAUGCAUUUCCAGGUCUUCAAAUUAGAUGUGUUCUCCUUUGUUUGAGAUAUUGUUAUUGUUAUGAUGACUGCAUCAUUAUUACUGUUAUGUUGAAGAUGAUUAUUUUAUAAUUAUUAUUUUCAGUCACUAGAAAUAGGCUAAUGUUUCCUGACAUUGUUUGUGUUAUGCAACUCUCCGUACACACUUGCCCCCUCUUUGUUUUGUGUUCGCAUUAUGCCAUGCUAUGUUUAUCUCUUGGCUUGAGUUUAGUUAUUACUUGUUCUAAUUGGUUCCUGCACGCUAAAGAUUUUUUUAGUGAUUUCGACAUGUUCACUUCCAGUCUCAAAUUUUGCUGGUUACGUUUUCUAUGUUUGCCACUCACAGGUUUGUUAUUCAAAUUACUGUAAUGAAGGUCCUCUUGACACGUGAAAUCAUGUUUCAAAAGUACACUUUUACACUACCCGCAAAAAAAAAAGUACACUUUUACGCCUUUUUUUUCAAUGCCGGAUGAAUUGAAUAUAUUCCACUGCAUUCUUCUUACUAUUGAUGAAAGAAACAUUGUUGCUAUUCUUGCACAAUUAAUUGAUACAUGAAUUUUUUAUCAACAUUGGAUGAAUUGAAUACACCACUGCAGACUUUAUUAUUUUUCAUGAAAGAAACAUUAUUGUUGUUUACUUAAUUAGUUAACUGAUGCAUGCAGGAUUCAUAUCUAAGACUGACAUGUCCUACCCGGGGUGUUGUCAUCGGUGAUGAUCCUUCAUUUUUAGAGUUUGUGCUCAAAGUGAAGGGUCUUACUGAAUCAGAAGAUAAAGAUUUGAGCAAGUUCGCCACGACUUGCAGAUUGUGCGUGGGCUUCACCCAUCCUAUUGAGUACACUAGCAAGCUUUGCUCACUGGAGAUGCAGCACUACACCGUUCGUUUUUCUGCGGAGGCCACAAUUAGUGUUAAGAGUCUCUGAAGGGAAGUGGCCACAUGGUUUUCGAGGUGGACUUAUUGCUUGUACAGCUGCUGAAAGCGACAUCCAGAUUUCAUUGCUGGAUCUUAAUGAUGAUGAAUUGCCUGUUGAUUUUGAUGGUUUUAUCAAGCUAUCAAGGCGCGUUGUUUGUGUUGAAGAUGAUGGGAGGCUGGGAGUCUCUCCUUGAAAAUGGUGUUGGUGAUUUAGGUGCUAUAUGGUUUGCAGCUGAAAAAUCUCAAAGAAUCACACAUCACAUGCGUGUGAAGAAAUUCAGCUUAUGGUUGGAAGUUACUGUCGCAUGGUCCUUUUCUAAUCCCUGUGCUGGAAGUAAUUUGGAAUGCGUGUGGUUUGUUUUAGUUGCUGGAAGUGUGGAUAUUUGUACCCUGACUAGCAGGGUGCCCGUGCGUUGCGACGGAAUAAACGUUGCUGUCACAAUUCUCAAAUGAGCAAGUAUGUAGUGGUAUUAAUUCUUAUACCCACUGUUGUUGCAACUUGCGAUUUGCGAUGCACGACAUCUCAUCAUUGUUCCAAAUCAGUAUUUCUCCGUAAAAUACCUAUAAUAAAUUUUUAUAUAAUAGGUUUUAAGGACGAAAUGACUUACCAUAUGCAGUUUCUACGUGCAAAAAAAAAGUGCACACCGGUCUAGUGGUGUUGAGACUCACCUGAGUAGACAAACUGACAAAUAAACAGAAAGUGGCCAUAGUUGUGCUUCUUGAUAUUUCCUAAUUAUAGAUGUUAAUCAAUUACGGGAACUCAGCUAGUGCUUCCCAGUGGAACUUCAAAUCAUUAACUAUUGAGAUAUCUGAACUGCCGCUCAUUGAUCUUGAAGAUUCAAAAGAGGCCUUUUUUACAACAUCCUUCAUGACUUGAAUACUUAAGAGAACAAUGAUUUCCACACCAGAAAAUAAAAUAAAAGUUGGCCAGUAUUUUGUGAUGUACUACCUCCGUUCCAUAAUUCUUGUCUCAAAUUUGCCCCAAAAUGGAUGUAUCUAUUAUAAAAAAAUGUCUAGAUACAUGUAAUAUUUUGACAAGAAUUAUGGGAUGGAGGGAGUAUCUCUUAUUCAUACCAAAAGUUCACGAACUUUACAGAUUGAAGCACUCUACUAAAUACAUGUGAAAGAUUGGCAUGGAAGAACAUGGUUGGAGCAGAGUACAUCGUUUUCCUUGACACCUCGUUGUUCUUGUUCACUGUUCCUCUAAACUUGACAUAUCUACACAGGGUAGGGGAGAAAUCACUAAAUCAGAGCAUGACUGUUGAAAUCAAGAAAAAAAAAAGAGCAUGGCUUGAGAGAUCUUUAGAUAUUUGUUAGAUCAUGUUGGAACAUUGCAAUACGUCUUUGAAUCUGUAUGAAGAAAGAAGGCCUAACCUAUGCUAGCUAGAGCAAUCUCAAACAGUCACCUUGCAAGUAAAUUAGAUGUAGGUAUGGACUUGCAACAAGUUCGUUAAUGGAAAAACUGGGAGCAAUCUACCAUUUAGGUCAAAUCCAUGACUGAUCGUUAUUAUCUCAUAAUUAAUUAGUCGACUGUGCUCUCUGUCCUGAAACAACAUGUCUGCUGAAUUAUUGUUUUAGGACCUGAAAAAUUAAUAUGAAUGUUCAUAUCCUAAACUGAUCCAGUUCCCUGGAAAGAUCACCAACAUAAAGAAAAACCUGCUACCAAAUGAAUCAUGCAAGACACACUACAUUCAAGACAAAUCAGAGAUCUUAAGGUACA
rnacentral:lncRNA from 1 species